UAAUUUUAUUCUCUACGUCUCAUCUUUACAACUCCUUUAUCUCCAUCUCCCACGUUCAUCUGUUUCCACCCACGUUCAACCAUUCCUCUCCGUCUCCCACUCUUCUCUUCUCUCCUUGCCCUCUUCUCUUUUGUCCCUGCCCUCUGCUCUUCCUCCGUCACAUCUUACAUCCACCCCGACCUUGCGAGAUUGAAUGCGACAGCAAUAAGGCGGAUGUUGCUAGGAGGAGAUCGAGAGGGGAACCGAAUAAAGAAAGCAGUCUAGUCUCGAAAAAUCAGUGAUGGAAUGGACCAUGAUCCUUUGAUGGAGAACACUUACCUGUGAAGCCUUUAGCCUAUCCUUCUAUUGAUAGGUUAAGUCCAGAGCCCCCGACCGGGGUGAGUGUCAAAUUCGUUUGAAUCGUCGCUAGGUUUAAUUAGGACCUUCUCGGGGCCACCCCCACCAGCAACACCAAAGGCGCCGCCCCCAUCAGCAAUGCCUUCGAUCCAGAUCCGCAGCCCAUCUCGCCGACCUCAACCCAAUAUUUGAGUUUGGAACUCACUACAAUGAGAAACCGACGAAAGACAAAAGAGGACCUAACAUAAGAUGCUACGGGUGGUGAACUCCAGUUUGUUGUGGGCCGACAACCAAAUCCCUACUUGACUGUGUAAUUCCAAUAUUCUAUAUAUUCGUCCAUCAAAAUUGAAGUCAGGAAUGAAAAAGGACUGAAGGUAGAAAUUCAUUGGAAGUGAAGCCCAAAUGUGUUUGAAGGUAA